rnacentral:rRNA from 1 species
UACGUAGGGCGCAAGCGUUGUCCGGAAUUAUUGGGCGUAAAGAGCUCGUAGGCGGUCUGUUACGUCCGCUGUGAAAACCCGGGGCUUAACCCCGGGCUUGCAGUGGAUACGGGUAGACUAGAGGCAGGUAGGGGAGAAUGGAAUUCCCGGUGUAGCGGUGAAAUGCGCAGAUAUCGGGAGGAACACCGGUGGCGAAGGCGGUUCUCUGGGCCUGACCUGACGCUGAGACGCGAAAGCCAGGGGAGCGAACGGG